rnacentral:rRNA from 1 species
GAUGAACGCUAGCGGCAGGCCUAAUACAUGCAAGUCGAACGGUGUCUUCGGACAUAGUGGCGCACGGGUGCGUAACACGUAUGCAACCUACCUUACAUUGGGGGAUAGCCUUUCGAAAGGGAGAUUAAUACCGCAUAAGACAGUAGCUGGGCAUCCAGCAGCUGUUAAAGAUUUAUCGAUGUAAGCUGGGCAUGCGUCCAAUUAGCUAGUUGGUGAGGUAACGGCUCACCAAGGCAAUGAUUGGUAGGGGAACUGAGAGGUCAAUCCCCCACACAGGCGCUGAGAUACGGGCCAGACUCCUACGGGAGGCAGCAGUAGGGAAUAUUGGGCAAUGGACGCAAGUCUGACCCAGCCAUGCCGCGUGCAGGAUGAAGGCGUUAUGCGUUGUAAACUGCUUUUAUACAGGAAGAAACGACUCUUGCGAGAGGCAUUGACGGUACUGCAUGAAUAAGCACCGGCUAACUCCGUGCCAGCCGCCGCAGUAACAC